UUAAGCCUCACCAUUGGUUGAAUUUAAUAUACACAUUCAGACACACUUACCCCUAGAGGCGUCCCCAAAGUGUCACUGCAGUGACAUAGCGCGAGUUUCCUUGACAGGGAACUGUAACAAAGUAUCUUAAAAGGUAACACGAUGUAACCUUGCUCUCACUUGAAAUGUGUCCCCACAUUUAGUCUCUGAAUUUGAGGGUACUGGACCUGGAAAGUCCUUGAAAGGUCCUUGAAUUUGGAGUUAACUAAGGUGUGGGAACCCUAAUAUUUACUGUAACUUUCCUUUCUAUAGAAAUACAUUUGAAUUAAGUCCUAUAGAUUUAGACUGAAGGAGAAGGCCAUUACUUAUGAUAUAAAGUCUUGACAUUUAAACAUGGACAUUUAGGUGGACGCUCAGUUUCUUCUUUUAGUGUAAUUAUAGUAUUAUUCUGGCCAUUUUACCAUCUGCAAAAUAAAAAAAAAAACAAUCUAAUUUGCUUAAAAAAAGACGUGAAGUGUUAUUCAUCAUUCACUGAGGGAUGAGUUUAAUACUUACAAACCCCGUAACUCUUAGCAAGCGAUAGAAAUGUUGGGUGGUACUGAAAGGGGUAAAUACCCAAACAUGAAUCCUAAAGAAUGUUUUGAUUGCUUAGCAGAAAAAAGUGCCUUAAAAAAAGUCACGCUUUUGUUUACAACCAGAAGUGUCUCUUAAAAGUGAAAAGAUACACCUGGACGCCUUGGAAGGGGACUGUCUCACUAAAAAUACUCCCUAGUUAGUGAAUGGACACAAAAUCCUCCCUAUUGUAUUUUUUUUACAUGUCUGAUGCUAAAUUCACCAGGGAAAGGCAUUAGUAAGAAAGAAAGUCUGGCCUCAAUAAACAUGCCCGCCGUGGUUCAUUCAGGCAGUGAGGUCCGUAUUGUUUGUUUGCUAUGGCCUGGUUUCCAGAGACCCUGAGAGUGGCCCAGUGAAGAGGGUUCAGAGAACAAUGGUGCUCCUCAUUGAACGGGGCGAACACUGCUGAACACCCUCUCUGGAAAAUCACCCGGUCCGGUCACUCUCUCUCCCUCUCUCUGCUCACUCUUGAUUGACAGCUAAAUCAUUAGAGAAGUUUUUUCCCAAGCAUGGCCACAUGAAGCUUCACUGCACACACUGAGUGUGCGUGCGUGCGUGCAUCCGCGUGUGUUAGUCUGUGUGUAACAGUCUGUAUGUACACAUAUGUAUGUGUACUCACACCAUGUGUGUGAGUGUGUAUGUCUCCAUGUGUGCGCGUGCGUGUGUGUGUGUGUGUGUUGAAUCUGCAGCUGUGUAACUGGGAGGUCCUGCACUAUUGUCAACCACACAAUGGCAAGAGGAGCCAGAGAUGUUUCUUUACAAAGCGACUCACUCGCUGCCGUCGAGCGCCAGGAGAAGAGAAUAAAGAUGUCGUUGAUGUACAAAGAGGUCACAUGUGAUGACUCAUGAGAGUUUGAGACAGCCUCUGUCAGCUCCUGGAGAAAAACGGCACCUUGUUCCUGACAGCUAGCGCUGGAGUGUUAACCAGAGCACACGUACACCAGCGUUCAAUCCCGCUCAAGGCCUGCAAGCCGUCUGGUCACUGGUGACCCUCUCACCCAAUUAAGAGGCCAGAGUGUUUACCACGUACCAGCACACCAUAAAUAUAUCAUGAGAACAUCCUUCAAUAAUUGACAUAAUGCAAGUGCUGGGAAUCCCGCUGCCAGUGGUUGGCAUCUGUGCAUGCAGUAGCCUGAGGGACGGCCAGGCCGAGGGUCAGCUUGUUUUUUGGCGGGCGGUUCUGACGUGUUGUGUGUUGUGAAUGCCCGAGUCGAGGUGGUGGCGUGAUCCAGGGAUGAAAGACGCCGCAGACGUCCCGCGGCACGGGAGAAUGACUGGCAGAGGAAAGCCGAAUGCUAUGCAUUUAAUGAUGCCCACCAGUCGGUCCAAGCAGACUAACGUAUGCUGGGAGCAGAGGUGAAGACAGUGGAUUGAUCCACUUGAAUUGAACGGGACGUUGAAGAGGUUCCUCCAUGACCGGACUUCACAGGAAGCAGGUGUCUGUGUGCUCGCGUGUCCUCUGAAUGAUCAUCAUCAGAAAAGGCUGGUCAACGUGCUUUGCGAGGGACUUCGGCAUUC